rnacentral:rRNA from 1 species
CCUACGGGGGGCAGCAGUGGGGAAUAUUGGACAAUGGGCGAAAGCCUGAUCCAGCCAUGCCGCGUGUGUGAAGAAGGCCUUCGGGUUGUAAAGCACUUUCAGUGGGGAAGAAAGCCUUGGGGCUAAUACCCUCGAGGAAGGACAUCACCCACAGAAGAAGCACCGGCUAACUCCGUGCCAGCAGCCGCGGUAAUACGGAGGGUGCGAGCGUUAAUCGGAAUUACUGGGCGUAAAGCGCGCGUAGGCGGUCUGAUAAGCCGGUUGUGAAAGCCCCGGGCUCAACCUGGGAACGGCAUCCGGAACUGUCAGGCUAGAGUUCAGGAGAGGUGGGUAGAAUACCAGGUGUAGCGGUGAAAUGCGUAGAGAUCGGGAGGAAUACCAGUGGCGAAGGCGGCCUUCUGGACUAACACUGACGCUGAGGUGCGAAAGCGUGGGUAGCAAACAGGAUUAGAUACCCUAGUAGUC